rnacentral:rRNA from 1 species
AGGAUGAACGCUGGCGGCGUGCUUAACACAUGCAAGUCGAACGAUGAAGGCUGGAGCUUGCUCUGGCUGGAUUAGUGGCGAACGGGUGAGUAACACGUGAGUAACCUGCCCCAGACUCUGGGAUAAGCGCUGGAAACGGCGUCUAAUACCGGAUACGAGCUUCCACCGCACGGUGAGGAGCUGGAAGAUUUCGGCUGGGAUGGACUCGCGGCCUAUCAGCUUGUUGGUGAGGUAAUGGCUCACCAAGGCGACGAC